AUAAAAGUUCUGUUUGUCCAGGAGCUGUUUAUGCAGAGAGUCCCGUGCACCUUGGUCUCACACUGGGCUGGACUCCCCGGACUACUUUGGAAUGUCCACAAAUCAGAAGCAGACUCAAACCAGAGGAAUAAAAAUGUGUCAUCCUCUGAAUCAUCUCACCCCAGAAAUAUGAAGAAGCCAGCCCUGCUAUUCAUGAAGCUUCUUUCUCAAUGUUUCCUGUAGGUGUGGAAGCAGCAGCUGCCGCCCUGAGAGACCAGACACCUUAUCUGAGGACUCCAUGCACCCCUGCUUGGUGAGCCUUCAUGUUACAGAAAGCAAACCUCAUCCAGCCCUAUCCUCAAAAUACUGUCUGGGGAAUUGCGUGUUUAUGGACUAAACCUGGAUAGUACACAUGAUAAAAGAACAUAGUCCCUGGAUGCAAAAUGAAUAAGUAAGAUAUACCUCACAGAAGCACAGCUAUUGCAAAUCUGGAGCCUCAAGUUUAAUUGCCUUGAACUUGAACAGUGACAGAGCAAGAAAGGUAAAACACCAUAGAGGUUGCAGAAUAUCCUGCUUGAAGAGGAAGAAGAAGGGGAAGAUGUCAGCCAAGGGGACAUUUCUGCUGUGCCUUGAAGGACGGACUGAAUUUUUCCAGGUGUACAACGUAGUGAUUCAACAAUUGUAUACAUUACUCAAUGCUCACCAUGGCUGACAGCAGCGAGCCCAAUGUGGAGCUUGAACUCAUGAACCGCAAGAUCAUGACCUGAGCUGAAGUUAGACGCUCAACCAACUGAGCCACCCAGGUGCCCCUUUUUUAUUAAAUUUUUACUGAGCCCCUAUUAUGUGCUGUUUCCCUGGAUUCAAAAGAAUUCUACACACACACACACACACACACACACACACCCAUGCACCCCUUUGAGUAUCUCAUAAUUUUGCCUUUCUGGAGAGUAGAUGUGUUGCUAUUUGCCUGUUAUUAUAGCAAGAAAGAAUCCAAUAUUUGCACACCAGUUGAUCCAUGAAUGUCAACAUAGCGCAGGCACCUUCUGUCCUCCUAAAUUGUUAAUCUGUGAACUCAGAUGAAGGUUAGAAACUCUCACUAAAUGUUUAAAAUUCCUUUUGGAUGCUUCUGUCAGACUGAAAUUUUCAAAUAUGUGAAUGGUACAUAUGCUAAAUGAGGCACUCGACACCCCCACUCUUUUAGUAAAGUCCUCGUAUUCAAAAUCCCAGGAAUAUUUCCCACCAUUAAAAACCCAUAAGUGAGGAUACAACUAAACUGUUGGGCUUUUGAAAACUUGGGGACACAGCUGUGCAGAAAAGACAGAGCCCCUUAGGAACUGGAUGAAAACAGAAGUGAGACCAACAACAAUUAGCGAUCUUAAGAGGAAUUUUAAGAGGUAAUGGUAAAUCUUCAAGGUGUUUUAUAGUAUCAUUAUGCUUCAAAUCUCCCAGAUGCCACAAAUAUUUAACUUUACACAUAUAUCACUUAGGUAUCAUAUGUAUGUGUGUGUGCCCCAUAAUAUUUAUGGAAAUAUUUGGGGAAUAUCUGUAAAUCUGGCUUAGAACAUUUUGCAACCCCAUUUUUCUCUGCCUCAAAAGAAGAAAACUAUGUAACAAAAUGAAAAGCAUAUUCCAGAUCAUUUUUACAGUUGCAGGAGCUCGACAUUUUUCUGUAAACAUAGAGUGCUUUCCAUGCGUUGUCUUGGUGAUCCAAUGUUACACCUGGUGUUGCUAUUAAUGACAUGCUAUUUCCAAAACCAUGAGCAACUCUUGGUAAAUUUCCAAACAAAACAGCAUACUUUUUCCUCAAUAAGCCUGGUAGUUGCAUUUCUGAGAAAUUCAACACAUAUUAAAACUGUGCAAAAAUUACUUUGUAUAUGUAAAAUAGUGUUGUUCUAUGCUCAGAUAAUUAUAAAGUGUUUUUUCACCUGUAUGCAUGUCCAAUCUGACAUUAAAAUAUCAUGUGGGAUAUGUGUUAUGGGUUGAAGUGUGAGUCCCAAAACUUCACAUUUUGAAGUCACAUCCCCAAGGGCCUCAGAACGUGACCUUAUUUGGGAAUAGGUUCAUUGUAGAUGUAAUUAGUUAAAAUGAGGUCAGACUGGUAUAAGGAGGGCCCCUAAUGCAAUAUGACUGGUGUCUUUCUAAGAAGGGGAUAUUUGGACACAGACAAAUGCACACAUCAUUCAUAUGCCGUGUGAAGAUGAAGGCAGAGGUGGGUGGUGCUUUACAAGCCAAGGAACGUCAAGGAUUUCCGGCAAACUAGCAGAACGUAGGAAAGAGGCAUGGGACAGAUCCUCCCUCAUGGCCCUCAGAACGAUCCAACCCUGAUGACACCUUGCUUUCAGACUUCUAGACUCCAGAAGUACAAGACAAUAAAUUUCUGUGCUUUAAACCAUUUAGUCUGUGGUACUCUGUUAUGACAGCCCUCACCAACUGAUACAACUGGAUGAGUGAGGUACCUCAGAGGAUAUCUUUUCUUACUAUUUUCACUUUUUAAACUACGUGAAAUGUGGUGCCCAUUUAAUAGACUGCAUUUUUUGUGCAAUCCCAUACAAAAGAGAUUUUGUUUUAUGGGGAGUGAGGAGAAAGGUAGGGAGAAAGCCAUUAGAACCUGAUCCAUAUAAUUCCCCUUGGGGGAAAAAGCAUCAUGUAUGUGGCCAGUACUGAUACCUGAAGAACAUCCCCGCAGUGCUGGAAAAGUCGCUUCAGCCCUUGGUCCGUCACGGCCUGGCCAGCAUGGCGGCAGCGAUGCAGAGACAGAGAGCGGGGCUGGUGGCCAGCCAGAGCCACCAGCCAGUCAUCCUCCAGGACGUGGCAGUCUGUGAUCUGGACCUGCUUCCCUGGGAGUUAAAAAAAUAAUGAUAAUAAAUAAAACCAAGGAUCUUAAGGAGCUCCCCUUCGACAACACCCUCCAGAUAAGGCCCAUUCCAGGGUGUUUUCUCUUAUGCCACAAAUGUUACUGAGCACUAACAUGUGCUAAGCACUGAGGUGACAGUGGAGAUGUAACCACACAGACAGGGUACCUGUUCUCGAGCUGCUCAGCAGCUGCAUGGGGGAGCUCCUUGUGUUUAAGGGUCAUAUGCACAAGGUAAUUAGCAACCUUGAAAAGUGCUCAAGUACAAGAUGCUGGAAGAUUAUAUGAGGGGUAACACCGGAGUUAGAGAAGCCUUACCCAGGAAGGGACAUUUGCACUGAUACGGGAAUCCACAUGGCAAAGGGGGAAGGGAAGGAGCUUAGCACACGAAAGUGAAGAAGGGCAGGUGUGACUGGCAGCUACACAGUUGGGGCAUAGGGUGACCCAAGAUGAGGUGGCAAGGAAUCACACUGCAUAUGACCUUGUGCCCCAGCAUGAAGGUUGGGAGUCAGUGACUUUUUUUUUUUUUUUUGAGAUUUUAAAGUAAUCUCUACACCCAACAUGGGGCUUGAACUCACAACCCUGAGAUCAAGAGUCAGACACUCCAUGGACCCAACCAGCCAGGCACCCCUGGAACUCAGUGAUUUUAAGUAAGGAUCAGUCUUGGGUUGUUUUUUUGUUUUGUUUUGUUUUG